UUCUCUAGCAUGCAAAGCCCAGCCAGCCUUGGGCUGAGGUGGGAGACAGAUGGUAGAGUCGAGCUUCAGUUUCUAUCUGAUGCAAGUUUGCUCCCUAGGUCCAGAGAGCAGUGUGGUUGACACAGGCUGUGGAAUUUCACAAGGUAGAGUUUACUGUGGGCCGAGGCUUUCCAGGAGAGACUUUUAGCAGGAGGAAGCCCUAGUGAAGCAGCAUCUGAGAGGGUACAUCAGGGUUGAAGCAUGGGGAGGUCUAGAAAGGCAACAGGAUAAAGGCCCAAAGGUUUAAAGUACGCAGCGCAUUGCAGGAAAUUCAAAAAAGAUCCGCCAAGCUGAAGCUAUGGAAUUAAUGUUGAGGGGACAUUUUGGAGUCACAGCAUGGAGGACUUUGAAACACCAGCUGAAUCAUCGUGAUUUUAUUCUGCGGGCAUUUAGGAGGCUCGGAAGCUUUGUGAAGGUCCAUGAAUAGAGCUGCUACAUUUGUCCUGAGCCCACACACUGCUUUCAUCUGGACAGGGGAUGAUGCCUUUCCCUCUGACUCCCGUGCUAAUUCUGAAAUUAUUAAGCCCGAUUAUCUCUAAGGCACCUGCCAGCUGGGACAUUCUAUGAAACAGUGAAAGCAGGAAAAAUGUGAAGCAUGUUAAGUGAAGGUUUGCAUACAGGAUGGAGCAAAGUUCACAGAGCAAUCUGCAGCAGAGGUGAGCUGCAACCGCCAAGCCUCCGGGGAGUGUGUGAAGCCGUAAAUCUCACUGAUCCAGACUGGGAGCAAGAUGUUGUGUCUGAACACCCUCAGGACAGAGAACCAGAAUCUCCGAGUUCCUGUUACCAACCCCCAUCCCCGCCCCCUGCUUUUACCUGUGUCACCCAAACUCUCUGGGGAUGGCAACGCCUACCUCACAUAUUACUGUGAUGAUUAAAUGUGAAAACACAU